rnacentral:lncRNA from 1 species
UGUCUUGAGGAACUUGUCUUUGGAUGAUGCUGAGCAGGUCUUUCUUUCUGGUAAAGAUUUUUACAGUGAAGUAGAAGAAUUUAACAGAUGACAGAUUGACAAGAAACUGACAAAAGAAGGGAGACCAUUUAAUAGUGGAUGCCCUUCCAGUCACAACCCAGUACUGGGAAACACCCAUUUACACUCAUACACCAGAACACGGGGAGAACAUGCAAACUCCACACAAAAAUUACCACUGGCCCAGCCGAGGCUUGAACCAGCAACCUUCUUGGUGUGAGGCGACGGUGCUAACCUAUGUGCUCUAUGCGGGUGAGUGGGCUUGACAAACCACCUGGAGGACACACUCUUGCUGUCUUAAUGCACCAGACAUUUUGUUAUAAAUAAUCAUGUGCGUUUCAUGUUUAAUAAUAAAACUGCUAUUUUAUCUCAUAGUACUUAAUUUUUGUCUUGAUAUUUAAAAUCUCUUGUUUAAAUACACUAUGAACAGCAGCUGCGCUAAUUAUUUUAUUUGUUCCUUAUUUCCACCAGGGAUAUUCAUCCCAGGCCCUCUAGAGAUGUGAAGAGAUGAUGCCACCAUAGAGGACUUCUAGAUGUAUCCAUACUCCUGGACCAGACCGUAUCAUGAGCAGAUGCAAUGGUGGUCAUGGAGAAGUGGAGAGCAUGAGACUGAUUAAUGAAAGACCCAAGUGACAGAUGAGUGCCCGCAUUGAUCCUGUGGUCCAGCCUGAAAAC